rnacentral:snoRNA from 1 species
UCAUCAGGUGGGAUAAUCUUUUCCUCUUCUUCCUUUUGGAGGACAGAUUAUAACAUGAUUGUUGGAGAUGCAUGAAACAUGAUCAACAUCUAUACAUAAUCACAACUUGAAACAUUCUGAUUGCUCCUAUCUCAU